UGGGGAAUAUUGCACAAUGGAGGAAACUCUGAUGCAGCGACGCCGCGUGAGUGAAGAAGUAUUUUCGGUAUGUAAAGCUCUAUCAGCAGGGAAGAAAAUGACGGUACCUGACUAAGAAGCACCGGCUAAAUACGUGCC
rnacentral:rRNA from 1 species